GUUCCGGUGGCCUAGUGGUUAGAGCGACCGCUUCGGAAGCGGGAGGUUGUGAGUUAGAUUCACGUUCGAAUCA